rnacentral:lncRNA from 1 species
UUGGAACUUUCAGUAAAUAUUAUAAAAUAUGGUUGAUCGUCUCUAGCGCAAGUGAUAAAAAAUUUGAUGGUUGGUAUUCGAAUUCUCAAGUUCAAAGUUUAAUUUCUUCAUAUUUCUAGUUAAAUUUAUUUGUUAAAAAAAAAGAAUAAAGUGGGUAGCAUAUUGUUUUUCUUUCGACAAAAAAAUUAUAGAAUUUUUCGAGAUUAUAGUAUAUGUAAAGUCGUAAUUAUACAUUGUCGAACAAGUAUUUAAGUGUCGUGACAAAGAGUGGUAUUAAGCACUUGUAGGUAUAGUAUGAUAU